CCUACGGGAGGCAGCAGUAGGGAAUAUUGGGCAAUGGAGGCAACUCUGACCCAGCCAUGCCGCGUGCAGGAUGAAGGCGUUAUGCGUUGUAAACUGCUUUUAUAUAGGAAGAAAUAGACCUUGCGAGGUAAGUUGACGGUACUAUAUGAAUAAGCACCGGCUAACUCCGUGCCAGCAGCCGCGGUAAUACGGAGGGUGCAAGCGUUGUCCGGAUUUAUUGGGUUUAAAGGGUGCGUAGGCGGUUUAUUAAGUCAGUGGUGAAAGACGGUCGCUCAACGAUUGCAGUGCCAUUGAUACUGGUAGACUUGAGUAUGAUUGAGGUAGCUGGAAUGGAUAGUGUAGCGGUGAAAUGCAUAGAUAUUAUCCAGAACACCAAUUGCGUAGGCAAGUUACUAAGUCAUAACUGACGCUGAUGCACGAAAGUGUGGGUAUCAAACAGGAUUAGAUACCCUGGUAGUCCACACUGUAAACGAUGAUAACUAACUGUUGGCUUUCGGGUCAGUGGUACAGAGAAAUCGUUAAGUUAUCCACCUGGGGAGUACGCCGGCAACGGUGAAACUUAAAUGAAUUGAGCGNGAGAGNGCGAGGCGACGACGAGGGAGGAGG
rnacentral:rRNA from 1 species